AGAUUAAGUUAUUAAGGGCGCACGGUGGAUGCCUUGGCACUAGAAGCCGAUGAAGGACGUUACUAACGACGAUAUGCUUUGGGGAGCUGUAAGUAAGCUUUGAUCCAGAGAUUUCCGAAUGGGGAAACCCAGCAUGAGUUAUGUCAUGUUAUCGAUAUGUGAAUACAUAGCAUAUCAGAAGGCACACCCGGAGAACUGAAACAUCUUAGUACCCGGAGGAAGAGAAAGAAAAUUCGAUUCCCUUAGUAGCGGCGAGCGAAACGGGAAGAGCCCAAACCAACAAGCUUGCUUGUUGGGGUUGUAGGACACUCUAUACGGAGUUACAAAGGACGACAUUAGACGAAUCAUCUGGAAAGAUGAAUCAAAGAAGGUAAUAAUCCUGUAGUCGAAAAUGUUGUCUCUCUUGAGUGGAUCCUGAGUACGACGGAGCACGUGAAAUUCCGUCGGAAUCUGGGAGGACCAUCUCCUAAGGCUAAAUACUCUCUAGUGACCGAUAGUGAACCAGUACCGUGAGGGAAAGGUGAAAAGCACCCCGGAAGGGGAGUGAAAUAGAACCUGAAACCGUGUGCUUACAAGUAGUCAGAGCCCGUUAAUGGGUGAUGGCGUGCCUUUUGUAGAAUGAACCGGCGAGUUACGAUUUGAUGCAAGGUUAAGCAGUAAAUGUGGAGCCGUAGCGAAAGCGAGUCUGAAUAGGGCGUUUAGUAUUUGGUCGUAGACCCGAAACCAGGUGAUCUACCCUUGGUCAGGUUGAAGUUCAGGUAACACUGAAUGGAGGACCGAACCGACUUACGUUGAAAAGUGAGCGGAUGAACUGAGGGUAGCGGAGAAAUUCCAAUCGAACCUGGAGAUAGCUGGUUCUCUCCGAAAUAGCUUUAGGGCUAGCCUCAAGUGAUGAUUAUUGGAGGUAGAGCACUGUUUGGACGAGGGGCCCCUCUCGGGUUACCGAAUUCAGACAAACUCCGAAUGCCAAUUAAUUUAACUUGGGAGUCAGAACAUGGGUGAUAAGGUCCGUGUUCGAAAGGGAAACAGCCCAGACCACCAGCUAAGGUCCCAAAAUAUAUGUUAAGUGGAAAAGGAUGUGGCGUUGCCCAGACAACUAGGAUGUUGGCUUAGAAGCAGCCAUCAUUUAAAGAGUGCGUAAUAGCUCACUAGUCGAGUGACACUGCGCCGAAAAUGUACCGGGGCUAAACAUAUUACCGAAGCUGUGGAUUGUCCUUUGGACAAUGGUAGGAGAGCGUUCUAAGGGCGUUGAAGCAUGAUCGUAAGAACANNNNNNNNNNNNNNNNNNNNNNNNNNNNNNNNNNNNNNNNNNNNNNNNNNNNNNNNNNNNNNNNNNNNNNNNNNNNNNNNNNNNNUGAUCGUNAGAACAUGUGGAGCGCUUAGAAGUGAGAAUGCCGGUGUGAGUAGCGAAAGACGGGUGAGAAUCCCGUCCACCGAUUGACUAAGGUUUCCAGAGGAAGGCUCGUCCGCUCUGGGUUAGUCGGGUCCUAAGCUGAGGCCGACAGGCGUAGGCGAUGGAUAACAGGUUGAUAUUCCUGUACCACCUAUAAUCGUUUUAAUCGAUGGGGGGACGCAGUAGGAUAGGCGAAGCGUGCGAUUGGAUUGCACGUCUAAGCAGUAAGGCUGAGUAUUAGGCAAAUCCGGUACUCGUUAAGGCUGAGCUGUGAUGGGGAGAAGACAUUGUGUCUUCGAGUCGUUGAUUUCACACUGCCGAGAAAAGCCUCUAGAUAGAAAAUAGGUGCCCGUACCGCAAACCGACACAGGUAGUCAAGAUGAGAAUUCUAAGGUGAGCGAGCGAACUCUCGUUAAGGAACUCGGCAAAAUGACCCCGUAACUUCGGGAGAAGGGGUGCUCUUUAGGGUUAACGCCCAGAAGAGCCGCAGUGAAUAGGCCCAAGCGACUGUUUAUCAAAAACACAGGUCUCUGCUAAACCGUAAGGUGAUGUAUAGGGGCUGACGCCUGCCCGGUGCUGGAAGGUUAAGAGGAGUGGUUAGCUUCUGCGAAGCUACGAAUCGAAGCCCCAGUAAACGGCGGCCGUAACUAUAACGGUCCUAAGGUAGCGAAAUUCCUUGUCGGGUAAGUUCCGACCCGCACGAAAGGCGUAACGAUUUGGGCACUGUCUCAACGAGAGACUCGGUGAAAUCAUAGUACCUGUGAAGAUGCAGGUUACCCGCGACAGGACGGAAAGACCCCGUGGAGCUUUACUGUAGCCUGAUAUUGAAAUUCGGCACAGCUUGUACAGGAUAGGUAGGAGCCUUUGAAACGUGAGCGCUAGCUUACGUGGAGGCGCUGGUGGGAUACUACCCUAGCUGUGUUGGCUUUCUAACCCGCACCACUUAUCGUGGUGGGAGACAGUGUCAGGCGGGCAGUUUGACUGGGGCGGUCGCCUCCUAAAAGGUAACGGAGGCGCUCAAAGGUUCCCUCAGAAUGGUUGGAAAUCAUUCAUAGAGUGUAAAGGCAUAAGGGAGCUUGACUGCGAGACCUACAAGUCGAGCAGGGUCGAAAGACGGACUUAGUGAUCCGGUGGUUCCGCAUGGAAGGGCCAUCGCUCAACGGAUAAAAGCUACCCCGGGGAUAACAGGCUUAUCUCCCCCAAGAGUUCACAUCGACGGGGAGGUUUGGCACCUCGAUGUCGGCUCAUCGCAUCCUGGGGCUGUAGUCGGUCCCAAGGGUUGGGCUGUUCGCCCAUUAAAGCGGUACGCGAGCUGGGUUCAGAACGUCGUGAGACAGUUCGGUCCCUAUCCGUCGUGGGCGUAGGAAAUUUGAGAGGAGCUGUCCUUAGUACGAGAGGACCGGGAUGGACAUACCUCUGGUGUACCAGUUGUCGUGCCAACGGCAUAGCUGGGUAGCUAUGUGUGGACGGGAUAAGUGCUGAAAGCAUCUAAGCAUGAAGCCCCCCUCAAGAUGAGAUUUCCCAACUUCGGUUAUAAGAUCCCUCAAAGAUGAUGAGGUUAAUAGGUUCGAGGUGGAAGCAUGGUGACAUGUGGAGCUGACGAAUACUAAUCGAUCGAAGACUUAAUCAAAA
rnacentral:rRNA from 1 species